rnacentral:lncRNA from 1 species
CUGGAGGUGGGCUGGGCUGCUCAGUGGGCCCACCCUGCUGGCUCUGGGCUUCGGAGGCCUUAUGGAAGGAGCAAGCUGCUCCCGAGGCCUCAGAGCCCAGCAGCUAGCUACAGGGUUUUUAGCAUCCCGGAACCUGUGCUCAAGACAGCAGCUGCCCAGGGAAGAGAGAUGAAGAAGCUGGAUUCACAUACACAGCAGUGGCUGACCAAGAUGCCAUCACUAGGAAGUAUGAAAACAAAGUUUGAAGCCAGGCGCCUGGCUAUAUCACCACUUCCCAUCCAGCAGCAGGAUAUGGCUCCAGGUCCCAAGUCCCAGGUGGAUUACAUCUCUGCUCGAAUGGGAAGGGAACUCCAGAUCCUCAAGUCCGGGUUGCCUCCCAAGAUGCUGCCCACCAAGGGGAGAAGGCCCCCUGGCCCGGGCCUGACUGCUACAACCAGAAAUAUCCACCAGAUGGCACUCUUUUGCCACUUCCCGUACUCCCAAGUGUUGCCAGAGGUGUCGCCAGAGCUGUCGUCCCUUUCGGCCGAGGUGGAAAACGCGGAGCCGGUGUACCCCAGGCUUUCCCCCUCACUCCCAUACGCAGCAGGACGGUGGGCGUGCCCUUGGUCCCCAAAGACUGCAAUCUCGAGCUUCUCCGAAGUCGGGCUCAUCCCUUCGGGCCUCCAGGCUUCUGUUGGAGGAGCGGACUCCCCUUGGGCGGGGGGGGGCAGUUCUGCUCAGUCCUCAAAUCCACCCUCAUUCACCAGUGAGCCAAAAGUUGGGCUUCACCCGGACUCCAUCGGUUCAGAACAGCGCAGCUCAAGGACCUUUACUAGGAGCCUUCCUAGUAAUAAGCAGAUUCCUCACUACCGCGGACGAGGGAGUCAGGGUCAUUUGUACACACGUGGCGCCUACACACCUGUACACACAGCCCCCCAACCUCGAUGUACUCCCGACAUCCCGCCCUGGACGCCCAGCCAGGGGUCAGCCAAAAGCGGAGAGAAGGGCCAGACCCUGGGACCUAGAACCCUCGGCUAG